UACGGGGGGGGCAAGCGUUGUUCGGAAUUACUGGGCGUAAAGGGCUCGUAGGCGGCCAACUAAGUCCGACGUGAAAUCCCCAGGCUUAACCUGGGAACUGCGUCGGAUACUGGAUGGCUUGAAUCCGGGAGAGGGAUGCGGAAUUCCAGGUGUAGCGGUGAAAUGCGUAGAUAUCAGGAGGAACACCGGUGGCGAAAGCGCGAUACUGGGCCAUAACUGACGCUGAGGAACGAAAGCCAGGGGAGCGAAAGGG
rnacentral:rRNA from 1 species